rnacentral:rRNA from 1 species
UACAGAGGUCUCAAGCGUUGUUCGGAUUCAUUGGGCGUAAAGGGUGCGUAGGCGGCGCGGUUAGUCGGGUGUGAAAUCUCGGAGCUUAACUCCGAAACUGCAUUCGAUACUGCCGUGCUUGAGGACUGGAGAGGAGACUGGAAUUUACGGUGUAGCGGUGAAAAUGCGUAGAUAUCGUAAGGAAGACCAGUGGCGAAGGCGGGUCUCUGGACAGUUUCCUGACGCUGAGGCACGAAGGCCAGGGGGAGC